rnacentral:ncRNA from 1 species
ACAACGAACUGCAAGAAGUCAGCAGAAGCCAUAGUACCAGGGGGGUAAAAAAAUCUCUGGGAAGGGC